rnacentral:piRNA from 1 species
UGGACGCCUCGGUGAUGUACAGAAA